GAACGCUGGCGGCAGGCCUAACACAUGCAAGUCGAGCGGUAACAGGAAUUAGCUUGCUAAUUCGCUGACGAGCGGCGGACGGGUGAGUAAUGCCUGGGAAUAUGCCUUAGUGUGGGGGAUAACUAUUGGAAACGAUAGCUAAUACCGCGUAACGUCUUCGGACCAAAGAGGGGGACCUUCGGGCCUCUCGCGCUAAGAUUAGCCCAGGUGGGAUUAGCUAGUUGGUGAGGUAAAGGCUCACCAAGGCAACGAUCCCUAGCUGGUCUGAGAGGAUGAUCAGCCACACUGGAACUGAGACACGGUCCAGACUCCUACGGGAGGCAGCAGUGGGGAAUAUUGCACAAUGGGGGAAACCCUGAUGCAGCCAUGCCGCGUGUAUGAAGAAGGCCUUCGGGUUGUAAAGUACUUUCAGUCGUGAGGAAGGCAUUGUAGUUAAUAGCUGCAGUGCUUGACGUUAGCGACAGAAGAAGCACCGGCUAACUCCGUG
rnacentral:rRNA from 1 species